AGCAGCCGCGGUAAUUCCAGCUCCAAUAGCGUAUAUUAAAGUUGUUGCAGUUAAAAGCUCGUAGUUGAAUUUCGGGGUUAGCAGGUCGGUCGUGCCAUCGGUAUGAACUGGUCUCGCUGAUCCCUCCCUCUUGACGAACUGUGAUGCCAUUAAUUUGGUGUCGCAGGGAAUCAGGACUGUUACUUUGAAAAAUUGAGUGUUUAAAGCAGGCUCACGCUUGAAUACAUUAGCAUGGAAUAAUGAAAUAGGACGUUUGAUCCUAUUUUGUUGGCUUCUAGGAUUGACGUAAUGAUUAAUAGGGAUAGUUGGGGGCAUUAGUAUUCAAUUGUCAGAGGUGAAAUUCUUGGAUUUAUUGAGGACUAACUACUGCGAAAGCAUUUGCCAAGGAUGUUUUCAUUAAUCAAAGAACGAAAGUUAGGGGAUCGAAGACGAUCAGAUACCGUCGUAGUCUUAACCAUAAACUAUGCCGACUAGGGAUCGGAUGAUGUUUAAUUUUUAAUGUACUUCUACG
rnacentral:misc_RNA from 1 species